rnacentral:rRNA from 1 species
UACAGAGGGUGCGAGCGUUAAUCGGAAUUACUGGGCGUAAAGCGUGCGUAGACGGUUAUUUAAGUCGGAUGUGAAAGCCCCGGGCUCAACCUGGGAAUUGCAUUCGAGACUGAAUAGCUAGGGUGCGGUAGAGGGAAGCGGAAUUUCCGGUGUAGCGGUGAAAUGCGUAGAUAUCGGGAGGAACACCAGUGGCGAAGGCGGCUUCCUGGCCUGUUCUUGACGCUGAGGCGCGAAAGCUAGGGGAGCAAACGGG